rnacentral:snRNA from 1 species
AAAAUGAGGGCAAUCUGGUUGCGACAUCUGUCACCCCACUGAUCACCAGAGUUGAUUCGGCUGAUUUGGCUGGCUAGGCGGGUGUCCCCUUCCUCCCUCACUGUUCCAUAUGCGUCUCUCCUGAAGCUGCAUGAUUGGUUGAAGAGGACAACAUCCCAGGUAUAGAAGGAGUGUACUGAGGUCUCCAGUCUUCGAUCCCAGAUAUACUAUAGCUGCACUCCCCUGCUAGAACCUCCAAACAAGCUCAAGGCCCAUAUCAAAGUCCAUAAUGGUGGCCCCUAAGUUUGUCCUCAACUUAUACAUGUGGUGGACUUAUA